GUGGAACUGACCUCCCACAGAGUUAUAUUAUUUUCCAGAGAAUGCAUAGAGCCACGAGUUUAUUAUUUAUUUAUACCAUGGCUAUAAUUUAACACGUUCACCUCUAGAAAGGUGUUCAUUUGCAGGUAGAAAUGUGUUCAACAUCCACUGAAGUCGCUAGCAAGUUUACUAGAUAGCUACAGUAGUUGCUGUGGUAACCAAACAACCAGACUUGCUAGUUUAGCUAACCAAACCAUCAGUCCUAGCUUGCCAUUAUGAAAAUCGAAUUCGACAAUGCCAGUAUUGUUGUCAAUUCGACUUUUGCUUUCAAAAGCGUCUCAAACAUAGAACACGUAAGAAUGAACUAUAGCCAUAGAAUUCAAGCAUUCAAAUAUACUGUGUGUUAUAGGGAAGUAAUGCAGCCUCUAGAAUGCCCUUCAAGCCAAUCAGAAACAAGUUUUCAACAAUGCCAUGGUAUAAUAAUAAUAACAGUCAGGAUGUUGUGUCCAAUGGGGUAAAUGCAGAUGGACAAUGUACAUUUUAUAGCCUCUGCUGCAUCAGUUGGGCUACAGGGGAUACUGCUUAAGAACUCAUUACCACAAACACUCACCAUCCUUUGUGUGUGUGCAUGCGUGUGUUUGUCAGUCUUUCUCACACACACACACACACACACACACACACACACACACACACACACACACACACACACACACACACACACACACACACACACACACACACACACACACUAGUGAAAGACAGACAGAGAUAGACCCAGAAAGAGACAUAAAGUGUGAAUGAAAGACAGAAGAUAGAUAACUACAGCUCCCCCCAGGUAGAGCUCAAGGUAUCCCUCAAGUCUGUGUAAAACUGUUUCACUUUAUCUCGCUCUUUGAUAUUUUAUGCCCUGAGCGCCUGCAGCCAGCCAGGCUGAAGAGCUGUAGUGUGCUGAGAGGAAAGAAAAGCAGAGAAGGGCAGCUUCUCUUGUUGCCCCCAAUGCUGGCAUCCCUCACAGCUAGGCUACAUAAGGAAACAUUUGUUCUUCAGCCUCUGAAUGAGGCCUUGUGUCAGUGGAGAAAAACACAGACAGGACAGAGAGAAAGAGGGAGACCAGAGAGAUAGAAAGUUGUGUCCCAAAACCUUAAAACACGUGACCAUGAAGACUUAAGAUCUUUCAGAAAUUCCUCUAGUAGUGGGUCCUUCUGACACACAUUUGUUGACCGAUUUAUGUCAUGUUCCCAUAGUGACUAUUUGUGAAUAGGAAUCAUUUGAAGUCACUGUUUUUAAUGUUUAUACGGUUUCCUUUCUAAUUUCUCUUUGACGUGUUAAAUAUAGAAAACCACACAAAUGGCUGGUACCACCAUAACACACAAAUAUAAAAACAUAACUUUCGCUUUCCCUGCUUAACCCUCAGCAGCAGCCUGUGCAGUUGUGGCGGGAGAGGGAGGCUGAGGAAUGCCAAAGGAAUGUUGCUGUGUUACUGGAGAGGCGGACUGACUGACUGACUGAUCACACACUGAACAAUGUCUUUGUGUUCCCCGGCCCGACCUGUAGUCACGCAACGCCGUGUGAGCACACUUUCCGUAACCGCUCAGCCCUGCUCACAGAAGAGCGUGAUCAAGUACCUGCAUCUCUACAGGAUCGCGUGCAGUUCAGGUGCUUGGGGCGCACUGGAGCGAAUCCAGGUGUGAGUGUAGGAGGGAAAACGCGGUGUGGACAUAAACAUUGGGUGGAACCGAAACAUCUGGCAGUUUGACUCCCAAGAUUUUUGCUGCGUCUUGGAAAUUAACAUCAACACAGAGAACCAACCCGAAUAAAGGAACAACUGGAAAUUAUAACUGCUUAUAUAACGCAGUUUAAAGUUGCAUAUGUGUCUAUUGCAAGAAAAAAUAUAAAGAGACAAUAUGCUGUAUAAAACAACUAUAAUCUCUCAUGAAUGCAUUUAAAUAUUGUAGCAUAUGCAUAAAAAUGGGGGAUUGGAGCCCAACUAUGAUGCAGUGAUUGUGAAUGAAUUAUUUCCGACAUGAUUGUGACAGUUGGCUUCCCGUUGAUUGACUCUUUUGUGUACAAUUCCCACACUCAUCCAGUCCAUUCUAUGGAAAGGUCCGCUCAUCUCCUUAGCCAAGCCGAGUUUAUGCGUACUAGUAACUUAAAAUACUAUAAAAAUAACAGCAUGCCUGCAGGCAGGGAUACUUCAAGGUGAUGUAAGACAGCGAGCAGAGCUUUCAGUCAGAGAAGGACCUAUUGGAUGUAGCGUUAGUGUUAUUGCUAAAUUCUGCUAAUUUGAUUGAAACGAGACCAAGAAUAUACAGACAAUGCCUACUUACUUGCAUCACCAGGACAAAUGUGCACAUUUUGAAUAGAAUUCUGUGUUUUACUCACCUUGGGGGACACUGUUGGAGUAACACAUUGUUGUGGGCGGGGACAUAUCCCAUCUGCCACUGCCCGAAUUCUUUGGGUUAGCAGCUCUCCACAUGGCUCAGUUAAAGGCGCUACAUGGUCAUUCUGACGUCUGUAUUGGCCAUGCAGCAUUUAUGGUGAUGUGGCCUCUGCAGAAGUAAGAUCAUUCAUACUUCUUGCGCUUCGCCGAGCAGCACAGGGCUGUUGUCAAGGAACUUGUCAAUGAAGUGAGUUUGUGUUUAUGCUGGACCUCCAGCCCUCACCUACCACCACCCAAUAAUUUCAAUGCGGAGCUAUAUGGAGCCCUCCACAUUGUUACAUUUGAGAGGCACAAGGUGAUGCGGUACGGAGCUCAAUUUGGCCUCUGGAGACUCCGCGAUUGCAUCACAAUAUCCAUACGGCGCCUCCGACUACAUUUUCGGAUCAAGCAUAAAUGGGCACUCAUGUGCUGGCUUUCACCGCGUGAGAAGCGACUCUCUGGAACUGUAGAGAUGCAUGAGAAACCACACUCCAAACGGCAGGAGCAUGCUACAGUCGAACAAGGCAUCGCAACGAACUGACUGGACUUUUAAUCCACACCAACGGAUUUAUACUGUUUAAAUAGAUUUUUAUUAAUUAAGCAGGUUUCGUCGGCAUCUGCUCUGUGGUUCGUUGACUAUUGGAUCUCAUUGGAUAGCAUAUCCCUUGACCCACGGCCAGAUGUGCGUGCUGUGCGUUAUGGAGUUAUAUAUCGAGUUAUGUUCAGCUGUGGAUCGAUUUACGCAUGCUUGAGGUUCAACAUUUACAUUUUGACAUCCGACUUUGGAUCUCUUUUUACGCAUCAUGCUUAUGGAUAUUCAUAUCCCGCGGACCCAUUGGCGACAGUUGCCCAGGAGUUGGGUUAUAACUAUAAAACGCUCAGCAUCAAUGACACAGGUGGAUGUCAACACGCGCAUUUUUUUACUACUUGCCACAUAACGGCCCAUUGCGUAAUGUAAGAAGAAACUCGAUUUUGGAUUGUAAAAUGCCACCCCUGGAUAAGACGUAGCAAGAACAUAUUUUUUGCAGUGGUCUUACAGGUGCGUAACAAAUGCCUUGGCGAGUCAGAAUGCCUGGAGAAAACGAAACAACAGGUAUUUCCGGACGUGAUAUGAAGAAAUGGUGUGAGGACAGGACCCCCAAGCCUCUCCCUCCACUGAAAGCUGAGUGGGACAGAGAGGGUGUGAAGAAAGAUGCCCCCUCUACCCCUUAGUCCUGAAGAGAGACGAAUUAACCAGUUGAAAGAGAGUGACUCACGCUCUCCUCUCUGCUCAUCCAUCCCAUCUGGUUUGUAUUUCUUUGGAUGUUUCUCCGCCUCCAGCCUCUGGGUAGUACCAGCGCCAAGGCCCAGAUGGCUGCCGACCCAGCCUCACCGUGGAGAGCGUACACUGGGUUGGAAAACGCCUGGGCUUGCCUCUUGGCUGGGGUAUGGAUGGUGGGGUAUGGUUGGGAAGGGAAGGGUGGACUUGGCUGGUGAUGGGACUUGGAUGGACCGCACUCCGGCUCUGACGCAACAUCCAUCGAUCAUCCAUCGCAUUGGUUGGUAGUUGAUACCCUCAGCGCUGAGGGCGAGAGCCCAGUCGUGUUGAGGGGUGUUGCGGCGUGGACAAUCACAGAGUACGCCACAGACUGGCCAGACGUCCCCUAGAUCAGAACCUGAGACUGGCACCUCAUGGAACUGGCGCGGGCAUCAGUACCAGACUGGUAAACUGGCAUGAGAAACUAUUUUAGACUCUAAAUACCAUGUCUAAAUGUAAUGGUUUUCAGCUCUAGAAGUCAGCAUGGAGAACCUGAUUGGUGCUGUAUUGUAGUCUGUUUUCAACAGACAAGAGCCAUAUGAUAUCAGGAGCACGUGAAGCACGAUAUCAGGACGACCAACUUUUAAUGACACACGUGUGUUGUUUUGAAGCUCAAAGGGAGUACACACCGGUGAAGGAAGUAGGGCUUAUGUUUGUUUACGUCCGUAUGCUUUGGAGAAAGGUGAAGUGGUCACAUCCUAUGGCAGAUGAUCCUUUCUUUAAGGGAGAGAAGAGAGCGAGAGGGAGGGAGAAAGUCAAAGAGGGGUGCCUGAGGGGCAGUCCUUUGUUUCGUUUUGUUUAUUCCUCCACGUGUCUAAAUAAAAAAGGCCUAGAUGGAACCCUAGUGCCUUGGAGUUCUUUGUUCCCACCGACAACAACUUUGUGACACUUCCCAUGCAGUGUGUGUUUCUAAGGUGGGUGGGGGGUCUUUGUGGGGGAAUCAAGAUUUGGGAGCGGGGAUUAGAAAGCACUGGGGGCUGAGCAAGGGGGGUUAAGCUUAGUUUGAUGGCAUUUUUAUUGUGGAGUUUGAUUAGCAUCCCCCCCCCCCCCAACACUACACAGCGGGUUUUCUCACACGCCAGUCAUGGGGAGAAAAAUGACUUCUCUCUAUAGCACUCAUAUCACUCCCGCUCCAUAGCUCUGAAUGGAAUGGCCCAACAAAAGGUGACAUAAUUUGUACCCAGGAUCAUAUUGCCCGAUCAGGGGCCUCUUUGAUGACAUCAUGACCCAGUCGCUUUCAACCCUUCCCUGGGAUGCUGGGUUGGCAUAGAAGCGAGUACUUCACUUGAAUUAGUCAUAGUUUGAUGGCCUGUAAAGUUUGAUAUGGCUGUGUUUGCAAUAAACAAGUUUGAGGGUGAGUGACAGGUAAGAUUCAAUAUUUGGGUAUGGCAGAUGUACAUUCACAUACAGUAUCAGUCAAAAGUUUGAGCACACCUACUCAUUCAAGGGUUUUUCUUUAUUUUUACUAUUUUCUACAUUGUAAAAGAGUAGUGAAGACAUCAAAACUAUAAAAUAACACAUGGAAUUAUGUAGUAACCAAAAAAGUGUUAAAAAAGUCCAAAUAUAUUGAAUAUUUUUGAUUCUUCAAAGUAGCCACCCUUUGCCUUGAUGACAGCUUUGCACACUCUUGGCAUUCUCUCAACAGGCUUCACUUGGAAUGCUUUUCCAACAGUCUUGAAGGAGUUCCCACAUAUGCUGAGCACUUGUUGGCUGCUUUUCGUUCACUCUGCGGUCCAACUCAUCCCAAAAGAUCUCAAUUGGGUUGAGGUCGGGUAUUUGUGGAGGCCAGGUCAUCUGAUACAGCACUCCAUCACUCUCCUUCUUGGUCAAAUAGCCCUUACACAGCCUGGAGGUGUGUUGGGUCAUUGUCCUGUUGAAAAACAAAUGAUAUUCCCACUAAUCGCAAACCAGAUUGGAUGGUGUAUCGCUGCAGAAUGCUGUGGUAGCCAUGCUGGUAAAGUGUGCCUUGAAUUCUAAAUAAAUCACUGACAGUGUCACCAGCAAAGCCCCCCCACACCUCCUCCUCCAUGCUUCACGGUGGGAACCACACAUAAGGAGAACAUCCGUUCACCUACUCUGCGUCUCACAAAGACACAGCGGUUGGAACCAAAAAUCUAAUUUGGACUCAUCAGACCAAAGGACAGAUUUCCACUGGUCUAAUGUCCAUUGCGUGUGUUUCUUGGCCCAAGCAAGUCUCUUCUUAUUAUUGGUGUCUUUUAGUAGUGGUUUCUUUGCAGAAAUUUGACCAUGAAGGCCUGAUUCCCGCAGUGUCCUCUGAACAGUUGAUGUUGAGAUGUGUUUGUUACUUGAACUCUGUGAAGCAUUUAUUUGGGCUGCAAUCUGAGGUGCAGUUAACUGAACUUAUCCUCUGCAGCAGAGGUAACUCUGUGUCUUCCUUUCCUGUGGCGGUCCUCAUGAGAGCCAGUUUCAUCAUAGUGCUUGAUGGUUUUUGCAGUUGCACUUGAAGGAACUUUCAAAGUUCUUGAAAUGUCCCGCAUUGACUGACCUUCAUGUCUUAAAGUAAUGAUGAACAUUCGUUUCUCUUUGCUUAUUUGAGCUGUUCUUUCCAUAAUAUGGACUUGGUCUUUUACCAAAUAGGGCUAUCUUCUGUAUACCACCCUUACCUUGUCACAACACAACUGAUUGGUUCAAACGCAUUAAGAAGGAACGAAAUUCCGCGAAUUAUCUUUUAACAUGGCACACCUGCUAAUUGAAAUGCAUUCCAGGUGACUACCUCAUCACGCUUGUUGAGGGAAUGCCAAUGGUGUGCAAAGCUGUCAUCAAGGCAAAGGGUGGCUACUUUGAAGAAUCUCGACUAUAAAAUAUAUUUUGAUUUGUUUAACACUUUUUUGCUUACUACAUGAUUCCAUAUGUGUUAUUUCAUAGUUUUGAUGUCUUCACUAUUAUUCUACAAUGUAAAAGAAAAAUUAAGAAAAAGUCUUGAAUGAGUGUGUCCAAACUUUUGACUGGUACUAUAUGCAUACUGUACCUACGAAGAUAUCAUAUGUAUAUGCACACACACACACACACCCACACAGGUGCGCGUGACCCACACAUGCACACAUAAACACACGCCUUCACGACCGUUUGCUCUUCCCAUGGUGCAUUGUGAUUCAGAGAUAUCCUAGCCGCAGCAGGUCUUUCUGAACUCCCAGACCUUCAUCAAAGAGGAAUGAACAGACUGAGGAAGAAAAGAAACUUUAAAAAAAAGGGCAAGAGAGAGAUGCAGAGAGAGAGAGAAAAAUAUUAUUACUCACCGAGUAUUAUUCUUUUUCCUAUUAUUAUCUAUCUGUGACAUCAUUAAUUUGAUAUGUGUCUUAUGCUUGCUUUGGCAAUUUAUGUGGAAACACUUUCUAUGUCAAUAAAGCCUUUUUGAAUUUGAA